rnacentral:rRNA from 1 species
CCCCUAGAUGUUCUGGGCCGCACGCGCGCUACACUGAACAGUUCAACAAGUCUUAACCUUGGCCGAUAGGUCUGGGUAAGCUUUGAACGCUGUUCGUGAUUGGGAUAGACCUUUGCAAUUAUGGGUCUUCAACGAGGAAUUCCUAGUAAACGCAAGUCAUCAGCUUGCAUUGAUUACGUCCCUGCCCUUUGUACACACCGCCCGUCGCACCUACCGAUUGAAUGGUCCGGUGAAAUCUCGGGACGGCGGCUUGGUCGCUUGCGUCCGACUGCUGAAACUUGAUUAAACCAUAUCAUUUAGAGGAAGGUGAAGUCGUAACA